GACGUAGGGGGCCAGCGUUGUUCGGAAUUACUGGGUGUAAAGGGUUCGUAGGCGGUGUGGCAAGUCGGGAGUGAAAUCUCUGGGCUCAACCCAGAGACUGCUUCCGAAACUGCUGUGCUUGAGUGUGAGAGAGGCUCGUGGAAUUGCAGGUGUAGCGGUGAAAUGCGUAGAUAUCUGCAGGAACACCCGUGGCGAAAGCGGCGAGCUGGAUCACUACUGACGCUGAGGAACGAAAGCUAGGGGAGCAAGCAGG
rnacentral:rRNA from 1 species